rnacentral:lncRNA from 1 species
GGCCGUUUGGGCCUACAGAUGUGGAGGAAGAGCGCAGAAAAAGGCGGGUCCGGCUCGAUUCCGAGGCAUCCCAAAGCAGGAAGCCGGAGGCCACUGGGAAGAAGGCCACGAUUUUUGCGCCUUCUAGAAGCGAGGCCCCACCCAAACUCUUGGGACACUAACUUGAGGCCACAGAGGCAGUUAUCUGGGUGUAUUUACUUGUAUCAGGCACCCACCCACACACACAUAGUCACUACUGAGGCCUGGAUGCCCCCUUG